rnacentral:rRNA from 1 species
UACGAGUGCCUCAAGCGUUAUCCGGAAUUAUUGGGCGUAAAGGUUGUGUAGGUGGUUGUAUUAGUCUUCUGUUAAAUUCUUCGGCUUAACCGGGGGCGUGCAGGGGAAACGGUACAACUAGAGGAUGCGAGGGGUCUGUGGAACUCAUAGUGUAGCGGUGAAAUGCGUUGAUAUUAUGGGGGAACACCAAAAGCGAAGGCAGCAGACUGGAGCACUCCUGACACUGAAACAAGAAAAGCGUGGGUCGCGAAUGGG